UACGUGCUGCAGUCAAAUAGUUGAAUGAUGCCUACCACGAACCACUACCUACCGAACCACAUGACAACUGUCGUUGCUUCAUGGAGAUGACUUAAUCCGGAUAAACGAUACAACUUUACAUAUGUUUAAUACGUGUGAUAGUAUUGCUACGGAUACACGACUAGAACUUCUGCACGUCCAGUUGGAUAAUGAGGCACGUAACGUGUGUAAGGGGGUGUCGAACACUAUGAUGCUUAUUUUCAAUACAAGUGGAUUGUAACGUUCAUUGAGCUUGAAUAGAAAUCAUUGUUGUUAAUUUACCAUUUCCAACGUGCAAUUCUCUUGAUAAUCCGGAGUGCCAACUGUACACAUUCGUCAGUCAGUGGAGGAUUGAAGAAUGUCCGUCCGUCCCUUGUGCUUCUCAGCUCAAUGCCACAUUAUAACUUUUUACAUUUACAAUAAUUUGUUGAUUUUCAGUUUUGGAUGUUUACACUUUUUGAUUUUCUCCAAGAUAGCGGAAAUUUGCCUGUGUCCUGCCAAUUGGCUGCCAAUGUCAGUGUCAAAACGCUUCUUGCCACACACAAUGCGCGUGAAAUGCAGGGUCAUGUGAUACACAUUCUUAUAUGCAAUGUGUGUUAGUGUGUUCGGUUCUGUAGCAACGACGAUGGACUCAAGGUGUGUGAGAAAUGCUCGUGUAACUGGCACCACUGGCACACAAUGGAGUUGACCUGUGGCUGAAGAGAGAAACACUGGCGCCACCGGUGCUUUUUCGUCUUUAUAAAUUCCAUUAGUUACCACUUAGUGCGUCCCAGAAAUUUUUAAUUGACAAAAUACAAAUUAUUUGGAUUUCCAAAUAUAUAUUAAAAUGCCAUAUGAAUACACAUGUACAUUUGUGCAAUCUUCGACACUAAAGCACCCCAGGUUCAAAAUGUGAAUAUUGCAUUACGUCAUAUGUACAGAUGGUGCCUCAUAUUAAACAAAUUAAAACAAUGAGGAACCGGGAGCGGUGUAACAAGUAACAACUGGAUUGUUCCUAUUGAUGUUUGGGUAUUGCAUUGUGUUUUUUGUUAACAAAUUAACAAUUUGCUUUCGAAUGGUCAUUCUGCAGAGUACAUUUUAUUUUUGGAAUAAAACUAUAUGUUUGUUUGUAUUUAUUGUUUAAAGUCUUUCAAUAUUACUUGCAAUAUGAGCAAUCAUAGGGUACGCUAUGAAAGGAAGGAAAUGGCACUUUACAGAGGAAUUCAUAAAAAAUGCCUAGAAAUUUGAAAAUUACCGUGAAAAACAAAUCAGAGGUAACAGCUGUCAUAAUGAUCUACUCUAUCAAAUUAGGAUUAGGAUUAAAAAUGUCCUAAAGUUUUUUCAAAAUAGACACAACGGUCGACUUUCGGCUGUAAAGUCGAUCUAUAAAAUGUUGAAGGAGUUAUUUUAAGCCACCAGUCAUUUUAUUUAAUACAUCUUUUUGUUAUCGUGAGAAUAACAAAAAGAUUUCGCAGAAAUAUUAGAAAAGUCCAAAAGUCCAUGAAGGAAGUCAAUUUUAGUUGUAGUCAACGAAUAGGAGUCAACAAUAUCUACAUUGAAAAAAAAAUCAAAUCAAUUAACCGUUGGCAGUGGAUUAACAAUCAGAAAAAAAAUAUGUAACGAAUAUUGAUACAUAUAUAUGUACGGAGAUGGUAUAAAAAUAGCAUAUGUCGAUUUUUUAAAUCAUAAUGAGGUGGUUAACACAAAAAAAACGAAACUUCUGGUUGAUUUAAGGAGCAAAAUCGAUUAUUGCAAGGUAAUUGAAUGCUGAUACGUCUAAUUUAUUGUUUACCACUUGACAGGAGAUACAAUUUUUUUCCUUCGGGUCUCUUGAAUUGUACCGUAAAACUGAGAACAUAUCAUAAAUAAAAAAGAGUAUUGUAGACAUGCAGUGUGAGUAAUCAUAACAUUUUUACCUAAUUUUCUCUCUUUUCUUUGGCUUUGUGAACAUUCUAUUAUUUUGGACCUUCCAAUUACUACGUCCUGAAUCGGUUUCAGCCUAAAUAUUACAGGAUGUUAAUAUUAUCUGGAAUAUUAUUUCAUCGUGCAAAUAACAUAACAAAGAAAAAUUAUUCAUUGCAGAAAUAUUGCAAACUGACUUGUAUAUUAAAUUUUAUUAAAAAAACAUCCCGUUUCGU